rnacentral:misc_RNA from 1 species
ACACAGACACACACGCAAGCGUAGCCAUGGCCAAGUCGAAGAACCACACGAACCACAACCAGUCGAGCAAGAACCACCGCAAUGGGAUCAAGGGCCCUAUGCCCCUGCAUCUCCGCAAUUCCAAGCGUGGUAGCUGGCUCCCUGCGUUGGUGAACGCCCGCCGCGUGCGCAAGCACAACCAGAAGGCGGCGCUGAAGAAGCGCCGCGAGCGCAUCGCUGCGUUUGCCUCCAAGAACUAAGCAGGAUCGGAGGAGUGUGUGCGAAGGAGAAGAAAAAGCGUGUGCAGCCACACGUGCGCGCCAUGCCGUGUCCCUUCGUCCCUUGCUCGCUCACAUCCUUGUAGCGCAAGGCUGAAAGGGAGCGGGGCUGGUGAAGCGCAUCAGCAGGCAACGCCACCAACCUUGAUGGUGCGCUUAACUGUGUUAUCGAUUCUCUUCUCGUCUGGUCCUCUUGAUGGCCUUUCGAACGCAAAAGUGGUAUGUCUUUCGGAAUGCAACAAGAAAACAGUGGGAAGGGGCCAAGAGAGAGAGGGCUACCCCCUUCUCUGCUUUCCGACACCCUUCUUUUCUUGUUGUUCGUUUGCUAUCACCGUGUAUGUGUGGCUGCGUACGUGCGUGUGUGUUUCGUGCCUGAUUCUUUUUCGUUUUCUUCUUUUGGGGGUGAGUCUUCCUCGGGUCUUACUCUUCACGCCAAACGCACGAAAAAGCGAAGGGAUACGUAUAUAUAUAUAUAUACAUCAGCAGCCCCAUAACACAAUACCGGUGUCAGCGAAGCGCAUGAGCUCUCUCCGCUUCCCACAAAGUGAGCGCCGUCCUCGUGCACUCCCCUGAUGGUGCUGCGUCUGCGUAGUUGGCUAACAGGCAUCUAGCUAGCACCUGCAUUGCUUGUGUCCUCGCCUCAAUUUCCACCAGUCGCUCGCUGCUAUCCGGAUAGGUGCGCAUGAACGCAUGCGCGUGCGCCUGUGUAGACCGUGCGCAUCCAUAAUGGAACACUCCUUCCACCCAUCUGUUGCUCUCAUCCCUCUCUCCUUUCUGCUCCCGCUUUGCCCUCCACACACACACACACACCUCCCCGACCCCUCUUUCUCUUUGUCCCUCGGCUGACCUCUACGCCUGUAUGGUGCGGUGUGUUACCCCCACUCACCCCGUCUCAUUGCACCAAACGCACACACACAUCUCGUCUGCAUGCGCCACCUCCGCCAACACCAAACUCUACAAUGGUACCCGUUUCCUGGACCCCCUACACCCCCCACCACCACCGCCGCCGCCUCACUGACUUGUGUUUGGUCAUUAUUGCCACAG